CACUGGAAACCGCAGCGAGUGGGGAGAGGAAGACUUCUUGGAAGGCAUGAGAACUUCUCAAGCUUCCAGUGAGGUAUAGCUUCGAAGAGAAUAUGACCACCUCCCCCAAGUGACUGACUGCUGAGAACCUUCAGUUCUCUGUCCUUCUGUUGAUGAGGAUGGUGAUGCCCACGCCAACCUUGGAAGCCACCAAUCAAAGAUGGCAGGCAGCCAAACUCCUGACGCUUGUAUGUCCACAUGGAGCCUCUCUACCAACCUGAACAUCUCUCUGGAUUUUCAUAUGAAAAAGAAAUUUUUUGUUCUUUGAGCCACUAUAUUUGAGAACUCUGUUACCUUGGCUUAACUGAUAUACAUAUAUGUAUACUAUAUAUACAUAUAUAUAUAUGAAUAAAAUACAUAGUCUAUGAAUAUAUAUAUACAUAGACAUAUAUAUUAUACAUAGACAUUUUUACUAUAAUCUCAGGGGUUCAAUGAUACCCUGUAACCUAGACUGUGGCUUGAUCUGAGAAAAGGAGAGAUUUCUGAUGACCUGCCCUCUGGAGUGGGCAUUUGUCAGAAGUGGGCACAUUAGAGAUGUUACAAACUCUAAUGUACAAACUCUUUGUACAAACUCUACCUCAAAGCACUGGUUACAUUUAACUGAAUGCCUCUACCAAUCAGCCUGACUUCUCUGACAACAUUAACUCUGCCAGAAGAAGAGGCAGAGUAAAUCCCACAGAGUAAAUGAUAAUUAUGGACAUUAAUGGAAGACUAGUCAGCAAUAUCAGGACCAGAUUCCUGAUAUACACAACAAUAUGGAUGAAUCUCAAAAACAUGCUGAAUAAAAUUAGAUCCAUAACAGUG